UACGUAGGGUGCGAGCGUUAAUCGGAAUUACUGGGUGUAAAGCGUGCGCAGGCGGUUAUGUAAGACAGAUGUGAAAUGCCCGGGCUUAACCUGGGAACUGCAUUUGUGACUGCAUGGCUAGAAUCUGGCAGAGGGGGGUAGAAUUCCACGUGUAGCAGUGAAAUGCGUAGAUAUGUGGAGGAACACCGAUGGCGAAGGCAGCCCCCUGGGUCAAGAUUGACGCUCAUGCACGAAAGCGUGGGGAGCAAACAGG
rnacentral:rRNA from 1 species